GAUGAACGCUGGCGGCGUGCCUAAUACAUGCAAGUCGAGCGAACAGACGAGGAGCUUGCUCCUUUGACGUUAGCGGCGGACGGGUGAGUAACACGUGGGUAACCUACCUAUAAGACUGGGAUAACUUCGGGAAACCGGAGCUAAUACCGGAUAAUAUUUCGAACCGCAUGGUUCGAUAGUGAAAGAUGGCUUUGCUAUCACUUACAGAUGGACCUGCGCCGUAUUAGCUAGUUGGUAAGGUAACGGCUUACCAAGGCAACGAUACGUAGCCGACCUGAGAGGGUGAUCGGCCACACUGGAACUGAGACACGGUCCAGACUCCUACGGGAGGCAGCAGUAGGGAAUCUUCCGCAAUGGGCGAAAGCCUGACGGAGCAACGCCGCGUGAGUGAUGAAGGUCUUCGGAUCGUAAAACUCUGUUAUUAGGGAAGAACAAACGUGUAAGUAACUGUGCACGUCUUGACGGUACCUAAUCAGAAAGCCACGGCUAACUACGUG
rnacentral:rRNA from 1 species